ACCCUCAUUCUUAUCUCAUAUCAACGUGCUACGUAAUAAUCAAUAACUAGAUUAUUGAAUGUUCUUCUUUCAGCAAAAUGAGACGUGGCGAUAAGUUCUCAGACACUAAGUUCCUGAGUUCUCCCAUUUUUAAAGAGAACAAGAAGAAAGAACUAUAGAAAAGGUACACAAAGUUUGGAGAGCCUUCAUGUCUGUUAGUUGACUGAUGGAAAUGUUAUUUCAUUUAUUAUUAGAGAUGUUUCUAGUACUUGUUUUGUUUCCCCCUAUGUUUUAAAAUAUAUAUAUAUAUUUUAAAUGUCGUUUGUUGAUUUAGCACCCCCUUUUAUUAUAUUCAUGAAGGAAUGAAUACUUCAAUAAGCCAACAUGUAGAUGUAUAGUUUGAUAAUGUUUUUUAAUGACUUGGGUCAAUUAGCUAUUGCAUGGGUGUUCAACUCAUCCUUAGGUGACAGACUGUACCAUCCAGCUAAUUCACUGUAUGGCUGUGUCAUAUUAUGGUUAAGUGAUGACCAAUGCACCUCUCCUUUUGUUUCUAACAUAAUCUGGACCCGUGAUGUUGGAGUUACUGACUGGGAGACCCUGUUUGAAUUAUUCAGAGUAGUUCAGCUGAGAGGAUCGUGGCUUUAUGUCUGCUCCCCUCUGCCUCUACUGUACACAGCCUAACUACAGACAGAGCAACGAUGCUGGGCUCGUUCAAGGCGAUGGACCACUCCAGGACGCAUACCCAGAAGGUGAAGUGGUGGCUGUCUGUGCAGGGUAACGGAGGUGCUGCCCCUGCUGUACAGAGGGCCUUGGUGCAGUCCUCCUCCGCAUCCACAUCUAACACCUUCCUCAGUGUGAGUGGCACUCAUAGACAAAUAUUAUAUUUGCAUAUUGUUUAUAUAAAUCAUUGGUGACAUAAGCAUGUACCCAUGCAUGCCAUUUCAGCCCACAAAGCUUAUGCUUCAUACUUUCUGGCUCUGAGAAGACUUUACAUGUAAAGCAGUAGUGAAUUUGACCAUUUCAACAAACAUUCCAACAUUGUUAUCAAGUUGAAAAAUACUGUUGGAAGGGACUCUAACGCCACCUUGUGUUUUAAUCUGGAACUCCUGUUUACUGUCCGUGUUAUCAUAUCACUAGUGGUUUCCUCUAAGUAUCACUCUAGUGUGUUAUCAUAUCACUAGUGGUUUCCUCUAUAUCUGGUUUUACCGGUCUGUAAGGAAUCAAAUGUUUCACUACACCAUAUACAUUACUGUACAAUUAAUGUACACUCUGUAACAAAUAAAUAUGUAUUGCCUAUGUGGAAA